CGGCCAUCUGUCAGAAUGCACUUCCUCUGAUGAGGGAACAACCUUCGCUGCACUUACCCUGGAACGCCACCUCCCAGAGGACAGUAUGGAUGGCAUGCUGGCCCCAGCUGUCCGUGACCCUCACGUGGCACCUCUGGUCUCCUCUGGGUUUUGACGUCGGUGCUAAGUAUGUUUUGUUCUGUAUUCCUGUGUCCAGUGAUAACAGAAGUUGUGAAUUAUGGCCACAGCAGCAAAUGUUUUUAAUCU
rnacentral:lncRNA from 1 species